AUUGAACGCUGGCGGCAGGCCUAACACAUGCAAGUCGAGCGGAUGAAGGGAGCUUGCUCCUGGAUUCAGCGGCGGACGGGUGAGUAAUGCCUAGGAAUCUGCCUGGUAGUGGGGGAUAACGUCCGGAAACGGGCGCUAAUACCGCAUACGUCCUGAGGGAGAAAGUGGGGGAUCUUCGGACCUCACGCUAUCAGAUGAGCCUAGGUCGGAUUAGCUAGUUGGUGUGGUAAAGGCCUACCAAGGCGACGAUCCGUAACUGGUCUGAGAGGAUGAUCAGUCACACUGGAACUGAGACACGGUCCAGACUCCUACGGGAGGCAGCAGUGGGGAAUAUUGGACAAUGGGCGAAAGCCUGAUCCAGCAAUGCCGCGUGUGUGAAGAAGGUCUUCGGAUUGUAAAGCACUUUAAGUUGGGAGGAAGGGCAGUAAGUUAAUACCUUGCUGUUUUGACGUUACCAACAGAAUAAGCACCGGCUAACUUCGUG
rnacentral:rRNA from 1 species